rnacentral:rRNA from 1 species
GAUGAACGCUGGCGGCGUGCCUAAUACAUGCAAGUCGAGCGAACAGAUGAGGAGCUUGCUCCUCUGACGUUAGCGGCGGACGGGUGAGUAACACGUGGAUAACCUACCUAUAAGACUGGGAUAACUUCGGGAAACCGGAGCUAAUACCGGAUAAUAUAUUGAACCGCAUGAUUCAAUAGUGAAAGACGGUUUUGCUGUCACUUAUAGAUGGUUCCGCGCCGCAUUAGCUAGUUGGUAAGGUAACGGCUUACCAAGGCAACGAUGCGUAACCGACCUGAGAGGGUGAUCGGCCCAACUGGAACUGGGACACGGUCCAGACUCCUACGGGAGGCAGCAGUAGGGAAUCUUCCGCAAUGGGCGAAAGCCUGACGGAGCAACGCCGCGUGAGUGAUGAAGGUCUUCGGAUCUUAAAACUCUGUUAUUAGGGAAGAACAAAUGUGUAAGUAACUAUGCACGUCUUGACGGUACCUAAUCAGAAAGCCACGGCUAACUACGUG